UACGUAGGGUGCGAGCGUUGUCCGGAAUUAUUGGGCGUAAAGAGCUCGUAGGCGGUCUGUCGCGUCGAUCGUGAAAACUUGGGGCUUAACCCUGAGCUUGCGGUCGAUACGGGCAUGACUGGAGUUCGGCAGGGGAGACUGGAAUUCCUGGUGUAGCGGUGAAAUGCGCAGAUAUCAGGAGGAACACCGGUGGCGAAGGCGGAUCUCUGGGCCUGUUCUGACGCUGAGGCGCGAAAGCUAGGGGAGCGAACAGG
rnacentral:rRNA from 1 species